ensembl:lncRNA
CUUGAUACCCUUUAAGGAUCCCUUCCAACUCAAAAAGUCCUACGAUUCUAUAAGGAAGGCAUUUUUUACAGUCAGGGUGGUGAGGCACUGGCACAGGUUACACAGGCAGAUGGUGGACACCCUGUCCCUGGACACAUCCAAGAUCAGGCUGGAUGGGGCUCUGAGUACCUGAUCAAUCUGUACCUGGAGUUAGUUCUAUCCAUGCCUCCAGCUUCACUGCGGUGACACUGAGCUCCUCUAUCCCGUCCAGCCCCAUGGAAUGCUGCAUCCUGGCUGCCCAGAACUGGUCCUGAGCGUCGGCACAAAGCCCUGUGACCACACUUAAUCUCAAACCAGGGAUGACAAUCUGGGUCAAAACCAUUCAGUUCGUCAGCAAGAAAACAUCUCCAUUGGGCCCUGAAACCACUUCACAGUCCUGUCAAAGUGCUUCAGGACUGCCAUGCACUUCUCAGCGACUCAUUGGAACCAGCUGGACCCACAACGGCUGAGUAAAGAGAAGGCAAAAAAAGCUGAAGGAACUGAAAAAAAUGAAAGGAAGUGGGUGGAGAGCGUUUGGCUCAUGUUCAAUGGUCUGGUGAUUGAAGACAAAACAUCAGCAUUCCUUCUGGUAUUUGUUUCCUUGUCAGAAAGGCAUCUUGGAAGGGAGAGGCCCCACAACAGAAGGAAGAAAAUCUGUCGUUGCAGGAAUAAACAGCGACUCAAACCACAGACGAGAUUCUUGGAGCAUGGGAACAGAUGGAUUUAAAGAUAUGAAACAUCAUCUGAAUUCUUCUGAUGCUGGUUCAGACUGAUACUUGGGAAAUGAUUAGUAACAAACUGGUAUGGCAGACCUGUCUUCCAUCAGCUCACCUUCACGAUCCGGGCACUAACUCUGUCAGAUAUUUCUUCAUGCUUAUAUUCACAGGCAUGCAACCAAGCUGGUGAAAAAGAUAUAUUACAGGGGAAAGAGUUUGGUGGAAAUUCAUUCUUCCCCUUCCCUUCCCUUCCCUUCCCUUCCCUUCCCUUCCCUUCCCUUCCC